GUGAAUCCCUUGGCUCAACCAGGAAGGGCAUCUGAAACUGUCUGGCUUGAGUACGGGAGGGGGAAGUGGAAUUCCCGGUGUAGAGGUGAAAUUCGUAGAUAUCGGGAGGAACACCAGUGGCGAAGGCGGUCACCUGGACGAACACUGACGCUGAGACGCGAAAGCGUGGGUAGCAAACAGGAUUAGAUACCCUGGUAGUCCACGCCGUAAACGAUGAGUGCUAGCUGUUGCGGGUAUUGACCCCUGCAGUGCCAAGGGCGAAUUCCACAGUG
rnacentral:rRNA from 1 species